rnacentral:rRNA from 1 species
UACGUAGGGUGCAAGCGUUGUCCGGAAUUAUUGGGCGUAAAGAGCUCGUAGGCGGUCUGUCGCGUCUGCUGUGAAAACUCGGGGCUUAACCCCGGGCCUGCAGUGGGUACGGGCAGACUAGAGUGCGGUAGGGGAGACUGGAAUUCCUGGUGUAGCGGUGAAAUGCGCGAUAUCAGGAGGAACACCGGUGGCGAAGGCGGCUGCUGGGCCAGUUCUGACGCUGGAGGAGCGAAAGCGUGGGGAGCGAACAGG